AUUCGUGUCUUAGUAAAUCAGCCCCUAAGGCUUUUUGAACUUCCUGAGUUUGAUGUGUUACUUAUAGUUUCAACACAGUUUGCAAUACAUUUCUAGUGGUAAAAUGCAGAGUUUUGUCGUCGCUAUAAAUUUCAUCCUGAAUUAUCUGUUUUCUCAUUUAGAAUUUAUCAUUAUGACACAAAUAUUUCAAAAAAUCUUCAGAAAAAUCUUUAGAAGAAAGAUCAAGAAAUGCAGUAUUGAUAGUGAAGCUGCACCUGAGGAAAUUCCAGAGAAAGUUGUUGGAAAAGUGAAGGACAAGGAGCUUAUUAGUCCUCUCACUCCAGAGAAGUUCUAUGAAGAGAAAGUGGAUGUUCCUGCUCAGAAGCAGACGGAAUCUGGUGAUAAUGGCAUGGAAGCCACACCUUCAAUUCCCCCAGGACCCAAACCUGAGGAUGAUCUAGAGCGUGCGCUUCAGGGCAAUAGCGUUGAAGACACUGCUCUAGAACCUGAACAUAUCGAAGCUAUAAAGAAGAAGCUUCAGGAAGAAAUAAAACAAAGAAUGGAAGAGAAAUUAAAACAGAAGCGUGAGAAGGAAGCUAUAAAGAAGAAGCUUCAGGAAGAAAUUGAACUGCGAACGGAAGAGAAAUUAAAACAAAAGCGUGAGAUGGAAUCUGGUGACCAAGCGGCACCGAGAAUUCCUCCAGAAGCCAAAGAAGCUAUAAAGAAGAAGCUUCAGAAAGUGAUUAAACGAAAAAUGAAAGAGAAAUUGAAAGGAAAAGGUGAGAUGGAAUCUGGUGACCAAGCGCCACCGAGAAUUCCUCCAGAAACCAAAGAAGCUAUAAAGAAGCAGCUUCAGGAAGAAGUGAAACAGCGAAUGGAAGAGAAAGUGAUAGAGAAGGAAAGGACAUGGGCCGAGCGAACCGCUAAGGAAACUCCCACUCAGAUGGUGAAGGUGAGUUUGGAUUUGGGGCUGAAUGAUUGGCUGCUUUAUCCGGGCAUAUCUAGUUAUUAUACAACGAUAAAACACUGUAAAGCAAUGUACCCAAUGUUACAGUAACUCCGGAGACCCCAUAAAUAACCACGGCCAGAGGCCGGAGCCUUCAUAUGGGUCACAGGGUCGUCCAGUAGGAACUUUCCCCUCUGUUCCUGACGUCUUUGCUAAAUUACAUUCAUUCUUAAACUUAUCUGAUCAGAAAUUAUUACACUUUCUAUUGGAGCUAAAGGGUUUUUUAAACACUUUACCUACAAAUCCCAUAUAUUAUAUCGUUUGUGUUAUACAAUAGUCAUUAGUCAUUGUUUGUAACAAUUAUUUUUCUUUUUUACAUUUUAAUAGGCCUUUAAUUGGUAUGGUUCACUUGAUUGGCUGUUUAAGUGCUGCCAAUACACAGGAAUAAGUGGAAAGACUCAGGCAGCGAAUGGAAAGAUAGAAUUCAAGUUUCCUACAGGUGCAGUUUUAGAGCAAUAAAUCUGAUUUUCCUCCUUUAUCUUGAAGCCCAGUAAUGAUUAGAAUUCCCCGCUAAUUAAACUAUAAGUAUUAGGGAGGUGCAGGUAUAUGUUAGGGAUCUGCCCCUCUAAGGCAGGAGUCGUGGGUAUUUGACUGCCCAUUUAACCAGAUAAUCCAUGGGUAGAAAUUAGAUGGGCCAUUAACUAGUUUAAAAACCUUUUUUUAAUGAUUCUGUAAUGGGUGUAAGUUAGAGGCGACUGUUAUAUAAUGGGAUACAAACCAGCAGGCUCCGGCCUUCAUUCAUUUAGGGAGUGGUAGCGGCUCAUUUCUGAACCGUUUGUUUUUUCAGGACCUUCAAAGAGACAGAAGACAUUCGCUAACCCUGAGAAACAGGAGGUAAGUUGUUAAACCUGGAGGCUGAAGGAGGCUGCCAGGAGAAUUUACUCACACGUGGAAUAAUGAUCAGAAAUUAAUGGUAUUUCUUUCCCUUCUCUAGAAUCCUCGCUUUGAUUCUACGAUUGAAAGGGUUAAUAGAAUCACGAGCCCCCCGAAUGUCAUUACAAGGUUUGUGCCCGGAACCGCACCGACGAUUGAGGACUUCAGGCUCCAAUCACUUCUCGGUGAGGGAGCAUUUGGAAAGGUGAGUUACUGGGUUUGUAACGAAGAUUAAGAUUUUGAUGUAUGUUUGAAGCAUGUAUGUAACCCUAUGGCCCCUCUCAUUGCAGGUCUAUCGAGCGCAACACAGGAAGACGGGAAAGACUGUCGCCAUUAAGGCUAUAGAGAGCCGCUGCCUGGA